UACAGAGGGUGCGAGCGUUGUCCGGAAUUACUGGGCGUAAAGGGCUCGUAGGCGGCCAACUAAGUCGGACGUGAAAUCCCCAGGCUCAACCUGGGAACUGCGUCCGAUACUGGAUGGCUUGAAUCCGGGAGAGGGAUGCAGAAUUCCAGGUGUAGCGGUGAAAUGCGUAGAUAUCUGGAGGAACACCGGUGGCGAAGGCGGCAUCCUGGACCGACAUUGACGCUGAGGCGCGAAAGCCAGGGGAGCAAACGGG
rnacentral:rRNA from 1 species